rnacentral:lncRNA from 1 species
UUUCGUCGCUAAAAAUAAUUUUAGCGAUGAAUAUAUUUCGUCACUAAAUUUGUUUUAGAGCAUGUUAUAGUGAUGAAAAUAAGAUUUGUCGCUAAAAAUUAGGAUCAUUAAUAUUGAAACCAAAGUAACUUUAAACUCAGGGCAAUAAACAUGAAAUAUAGGAUCAUUAACUUGCAACCCCUGAUAAUGAUGCAAAUUAUGGACCAGUAAAUAUGAAACACCUACCAUUAAUCUUGAAAUCAAGAUCAUUAAACUUGAAACCAGGGAAACUUAAAACUCAGGGUAAUAAACAUGAAACAUAGGAUCAUUAACUUGCAACCCUAACAAUGAUGCAAAUUAUGGACCAAUAAAUAUGAAACACCUACCAUUAAUCUUGAAAUCAUUAUCAUUAAACUUGAAACCAUAGUAACUUGAAACUCAGGACAAUAAACAUUAACUUGCACCCUGACAAUGAUGUAAAUUAUGUAUCAAUAAAUAUGAAACAUCUACCAUUAUCUUUAAAUCAAGGCCAAUAAACUUGAAACCAUUGUAAGGUGAAACUUAUGGCAAUAAACAUGAAACAUUAGAUCAUUAACUUACAACCCUCACACUAGUGCAAAUUAUAAACCAAUAAAUAUGAAACAACUACCAUUAGUCUUGAAAUCAUGACUAUUAAACUUGAACCUAAUUAAAUUGAAACUUAGGGCAAUAUAUAUGAAACAUAGGAUCAUUAACUUGCAAUCAUGAGAUCUAUUCAAGUUAUGGACCAAUAAAUAUGUAAUGUCUACCAUUAUUCUUGAAAUUAGAACCAUUAAAAUUGAAACCAAAAUAACUUGAAAGCAUAUGCAAUGAACAUGAAAUGGAGGAUCAUUAACUUACGACCAUCAAAAUCUUGCAAAUAUUGAACUAAUAAAUAUGGAACUGGUAACAUUAAUCUUAAAAUUGAGUUUAUUAAACUUAAAACUCAUUUUUAUCAUUUUGUGGCCUUUAA